CCUACGGGUGGCAGCAGUGAGGAAUAUUGGUCAAUGGACGAGAGUCUGAACCAGCCAAGUAGCGUGAAGGAUGACUGCCCUAUGGGUUGUAAACUUCUUUUAUAUGGGAAUAAAAUGUUCCACGUGUGGGAUUUUGUAUGUACCAUAUGAAUAAGGAUCGGCUAACUCCGUGCCAGCAGCCGCGGUAAUACGGAGGAUCCGAGCGUUAUCCGGAUUUAUUGGGUUUAACGGGAGCGUAGGUGGAUUGUUAAGUCAGUUGUGAAAGUUUGCGGCUCAACCGUAAAAUUGCAGUUGAAACUGGCAGUCUUGAGUACAGUAGAGGUGGGCGGAAUUCGAGGUGUAGCGGUGAAAUGCUUAGAUAUCACGAAGAACUCCGAUUGCGAAGGCAGUUCACUGGACUGCAACUGACACUGAGGCUCGAAAGUGUGGGUAUCAAACAGGAUUAGAUACCCCAGUAGUC
rnacentral:rRNA from 1 species